UGGUGAUAAAAUAUUUAGGCCUUUAAAUGUGGUGAAUUUUAAAGUGCGGACAACCAAAAAAAUAAACUCAUCCAAGGCAGAAGAAAGAAAAUAAAAAGGAAAACAAGGAGCAUAACAAGAUAGCAAUUUAUAUGUUUGAUAUAUUGCUUUAGAAGGAGCUAUGAAAAAUAGACCCGGCAAUGCUCCUCGACAAUACUUGAUUGACGAAAAAGGAUAAUCGAUAACGCAUUAACACUAUAAUUUCUAUCUCAAGAUUCUAAGACUAGCUCACCUAUUUAACAUUAUUUCUAGCACCAUUUUUGUGCGAUCAAACACUGAACUCCUAGAUCAAAAGCCUCAAUUUAACCUACCUUAACAAACAUUGAUUUCUUCAAGAAGCGCUUAGAUUGCAAGCUCUCUUUUUUCAAUUUAACUCAAGGCUAAAACAACUAAAUGUGCAGAACAGUGUUAAAAAUAUAUAUGAGCAAGUAAGACCUUUGAGAACCCAAGUCAUACCAUGAGUUUGUCAGACAGACUUUGCAUACACAUUGUCUCAAAGACUCAGGAAUCAAAAACACUUAGAAAUGGUGCAAAAGGGGCAAAAAAGAAAAAGAAGCCUCAUAGCUAAUUUGUUCCCUAGUCUUACAACAUUGUGCAAAGAGAUACCAGUGCACUUUAAUUCAAUUCGUAGGAUGCGUCAUCAAGUUCACCUUGAGAGUUUUUAGUUUCUAACUGAGUGCUCAGUGAACACAACA